CCCCAAAACAAAUUUCCACUACACUGACAUAACGAAAUCAGAUCUCAGCGACUCCUCUCUCUCUCACUACACAAUACUCCUUCAGCUAACACAUCUGUGGUUGCAGUGAUGUGACUUUUGUGAUUGCGAACUACUUAGCCCGUCAUUUCCCCCAUCAAAUUGUUAUCUCUUCCUGCAUCUCUAACAAUCUCAAUUAGUCCUACAAACCAUUCUUGAUUCAAAUCAGUUUACUUUUCUGUUUCUGCAUUUCUUGAUUUUGAUUUCAUUUCUCCAAGUGUAUUUGUUUAAAUCUGUCCUCUUCUCUCUAUGAUGAAAAGCCGUACCGUCUCCAUGGUAGUUCACCACCUCAAUUUGAUUACCAAUUUUCGUUUGUUGCAGUUUUCAGUAUGGCACAGCGUCCCCAAAUUGCAGUUUUAGGUGCGGGUAUAUUUGUUCGAACUCAAUAUCUUCCUAGACUUUAUGAGAUCUCUGAUAUUAUGAUUCUCAAGACAAUUUGGAGUCGAACUGAGGAAUCUGCAAAAGCUGCUGUUGACCUUGCUCGCCAGAAUUUCCCAGAAAUAGAAUGUAAAUGGGGCGAUGCUGGUCUUGAGGACAUUAUUAAAGAUACUUCAAUUUCUGGUGUUGCAGUUGUUCUUACUGGACAAAUUCAGGUUGACAUGUCAUUGAGGAUGCUAAAGGCAGGGAAGCAUGUUUUCCAAGAGAAACCAGCUGCAUCCUCUGUUAGUGAGGCUGAGACUGCAAUCUCACACUACAAAUCUUUGGGUGCCAAUUCUCUUUCUCAUCGACCCAUAUGGGCUGUUGGAGAAAAUUAUCGGUUUGAGCCUGCUUUUGUGGAGUGCAAGAACCUUCUGAAAGAAAUUGGUGACAUGAUGAGCGUUCAAAUAAUGGUUGAGGGAUCGAUGACCAGUUCAAAUCCUUACUUCUCAAGUUCUUGGAGGCGCAAUUUUACAGGUGGUUUCAUUUUGGAUAUGGGAGUACAUUACAUUGCAGGAUUGAGAAUGGUGGUUGGGUGUGAGGUAACCUCUGUGUCUGCUAUAACCUCUCAUGUAGAUACAACUUUGCCUCCACCGGACAAUAUAUCCUCUAUUUUUGAAUUGGAAAACGGUUGCGCUGGGGUGUUUGUAAUGGUCGUAUCGUCAAGAUCUCCCAAGAUAUUCUGGAAAGUUGUCGGCACAAAAGGAUCUCUGCAGGUUGAGCGUGGCAACAAAGAUGGCAGACAUGGUUACACGGUCUUGCAUUACACAGUUGAUGGACAAUGCAAAAGCUCCUUUCACCCAUUUAGCGGGGUUAAUGAAGAAUUAAAAGCUUUGGUGUACGAUAUUUCUCAGUCAACCCUCAAGGGAACUAGACAAGACCAAGACUAGUUCCAUUCUCUCUCUCUCUCAAAAAAGAAAGAGAAACCAUGCACCUGAAUGAAAGUAAAUUUUCUAGGACGUGGGUGACCAUGAAGCUGAACCUCGCAGUUCUUUUGUUGAAGGUGCAAGAGAUAUUGCAGUUCUUGAAGCAAUGCUUGAAUCCGGUAUGAAGAAGGGAGCAAAAGUUAAUGUGAGAAAGUUUUGAGUUAAUAAAGUCUGGUCAAAUUGCUAUUGAGCUAAGGACCUUCUUUUGCCUUAAAGCUGGAUAAUCUGUCGAGAAAUUUGUAGGAAUUAUAUAGAACAAAGAGUUGCUAUGGAGCUGCUAAAAACAGUUUAAUUGUUUAGCGAUAGUAGGUUUUCUUACAUUUAUUCCAUCAACCAAGAGUUGUGACGUGAAUAAUCAAGUGAUUGAAGGUAAAAUAUGGCUACAAGUGCAUCAACAUUAUUUUGA